rnacentral:rRNA from 1 species
GAUGAACGCUGGCGGCGUGCCUAAUACAUGCAAGUCGGGCGAACGGACGAGAAGCUUGCUUCUCUGAUGUUAGCGGCGGACGGGUGAGUAACACGUGGAUAACCUACCUAUAAGACUGGGAUAACUUCGGGAAACCGGAGCUAAUACCGGAUAAUAUUUUGAACCGCAUGGUUCAAAAAUGAAAGACGGUCUUGCUGUCACUUAUAGAUGGAUCCGAGCUGCAUUAGCUAGUUGGUAAGGUAACGGCUUACCAAGGCAACGAUGCAUAGCCGACCUGAGAGGGUGAUCGGCCACACUGGAACUGAGACACGGUCCAGACUCCUACGGGAGGCAGCAGUAGGGAAUCUUCCGCAAUGGGCGAAAGCCUGACGGAGCAACGCCGCGUGAGUGAUAAAGGUCUUCGGAUCGUAAAACUCUGUUAUUAGGGAAGAACAUAUGUGUAAGUAACUGUGCACAUCUUGACGGUACCUAAUCAGAAAGCCACGGCUAACUACGUG